GCCUCUUAUUUGUUGCACUAUGAGGUUUGAAUAUCCCUUUACUUUAAGAUGUUUGGCUCCUAAUUCUUGAGUCGCCAACAACCCUAGUAUGAACGCUUCAUAUUCUGCUUCAUUGUUUGUGCAAGGGAAAUCCAAUUUGUAUGACAAGGCCACUUCAUUUCCUUCUUUAGUGGUCAACACCACUCCUGCUCCACCUUUACCUUCU
rnacentral:lncRNA from 1 species